rnacentral:misc_RNA from 1 species
GCAAACUUGGUCAUUUAGAGGAAGUAAAAGUCGUAACAAGGUUUCCGUAGGUGAACCUGCGGAAGGAUCAUUACCAAACUUUAGCUGUCUGGCCGCAAGGCCCUGACGCUUCAACCCUUUGUGAACCAAAAAACCUUUCGCUUCGGUGGCAGUCUUGGUCGGAAACGGCCCUGGCGUCAGCCCACCGCUAGCACCAAAAUCAAAACUUGCAGUCAAAACACUGUCUGAUAACCAAAUUUUCGAAUGAAAAUUAAAACUUUCAACAACGGAUCUCUUGGUUCCCGCAUCGAUGAAGAACGCAGC